rnacentral:rRNA from 1 species
GACGAACGCUGGCGGCGUGCUUAACACAUGCAAGUCGAACGGAAAGGCCCUGCUUUUGUGGGGUGCUCGAGUGGCGAACGGGUGAGUAACACGUGAGUAACCUGCCCUUGACUUUGGGAUAACUUCAGGAAACUGGGGCUAAUACCGGAUAGGAGCUCCUGCUGCAUGGUGGGGGUUGGAAAGUUUCGGCGGUUGGGGAUGGACUCGCGGCUUAUCAGCUUGUUGGUGGGGUAGUGGCUUACCAAGGCUUUGACGGGUAGCCGGCCGGAGAGGGUGACCGGCACGAUGGGGCGGGGAUGAGGCCCAGACUCCUACGGGAGGCAGCAGUGGGGAAUAUUGCACAAUGGGCGGAAGCCUGAUGCAGCAACGCCGCGUGCGGGAUGACGGCCUGCGGGUUGUAAACCGCUUUCGCCUGUGACGAAGCGUGAGUGACGGUAAUGGGUAAAGAAGCACCGGCUAACUACGUG